UACAGAGGGUGCAAGCGUUAAUCGGAAUUACUGGGCGUAAAGCGUGCGUAGACGGUUGCGUAAGUCAGAUGUGAAAGCCCCGGGCUCAACCUGGGAAUUGCAUUUGAGACUGCGUAGCUAGGGUGCGGAAGAGGGAAGCGGAAUUUCCGGGUGUAGCGGUGAAAUGACGUAGAUAUCGGAAGGAACACCAGUGGCGAAAGCGGCUUCCUGGUCCAGCACCGACGUUCAGGCACGAAAGCGUGGGGAGCAAACAGG
rnacentral:rRNA from 1 species